rnacentral:rRNA from 1 species
CCCUUAGAUGUCCUGGGCCGCACGCGCGCUACACUGACAUGUUCAACAAGCCUCCUAGUUCGACAGGAUUUGGGAAAUCUUUGAACGCAUGUCGUGAUAGGGAUAGAUCAUUGCAAUUAUUGAUCUUGGACGAGGAAUUCCUAGUAAACGCGAGUCAUCAGCUCGCAUUGAUUACGUCCCUGCCCUUUGUACACGCCGCCCGUCGCACCUACCGAUUGAAUGUUUCGGUGAAGAUUCCGGAUAGGACUUUUUUGAUUUAUUUCAAUUCUGUCUUAAAAGCUAUCUAAACCUCAACAUUUAGAGGAAGGUGAAGUCGUAACA